rnacentral:rRNA from 1 species
GCCUACCAAGACUAUGAUGUGUAGCCGGGCUGAGAGGUUGAACGGCCACAUUGGGACUGAGACACGGCCCAAACUCCUACGGGAGGCAGCAGUAGGGAAUUUUCGGCAAUGGAGGAAACUCUGACCGAGCAACGCCGCGUGAACGAUGAAGUAUUUCGGUACGUAAAGUUCUUUUAUUAGGGAAGAAUAAAUGAUGGAAAAAUCAUUCUGACGGUACCUAAUGAAUAAGCCCCGGCUAACUAUGUGCCAGCAGCCGCGGUAAUACAUAGGGGGCAAGCGUUAUCCGGAAUUAUUGGGCGUAAAGGGUGCGUAGGCGGUUAAAUAAGUUUAUGGUCUAAGUGCAAUGCUCAACAUUGUGAUGCUAUAAAAACUGUUUAGCUAGAGUAAGAUAGAGGCAAGUGGAAUUCCAUGUGUAGUGGUAAAAUGCGUAAAUAUAUGGAGGAACACCAGUAGCGAAGGCGGCUUGCUGGGUCUUUACUGACGCUGAGGCACGAAAGCGUGGGGAGCAAACAGGAUUAGAUACCCUGGUAGUCCACGCCGUAAACGAUGAGUACUAAACGUUGGGUAAACCAGUGUUGAAGUUAACACAUUAAGUACUCCGCCUGAGUAGUACGUACGCAAGUAUGAAACUUAAAGGAAUUGACGGGACUCCGCACAAGCGGUGGAUCAUGUUGUUUAAUUCGAAGGUACCCGAAAAACCUCACCAGGUCUUGACAUGCUUCUGCAAAGCUGUAGAAACACAGUGGAGGUUAUCAGUUGCACAGGUGGUGCAUGGUUGUCGUCAGCUCGUGUCGUGAGAUGUUGGGUUAAGUCCCGCAACGAGCGCAACCCUUAUUGUUAGUUACCAGCACGUAAUGGUGGGGACUUUAGCAAGACUGCCA